rnacentral:rRNA from 1 species
CCUACGGGCGGCUGCAGUGGGGAAUAUUGGACAAUGGGGGGAACCCUGAUCCAGCCAUGCCGCGUGUGUGAAGAAGGCCCUCGGGUUGUAAAGCACUUUCAGUGAGGAAGAACGCCUGGUGGUUAAUACCCAUCAGGAAAGACAUCACUCACAGAAGAAGCACCGGCUAACUCCGUGCCAGCAGCCGCGGUAAUACGGAGGGUGCGAGCGUUAAUCGGAAUUACUGGGCGUAAAGCGCGCGUAGGUGGCUUGAUAAGCCGGGUGUGAAAGCCCCGGGCUCAACCUGGGAACGGCAUCCGGAACUGUCAAGCUAGAGUGCAGGAGAGGAAGGUAGAAUUCCCGGUGUAGCGGUGAAAUGCGUAGAGAUCGGGAGGAAUACCAGUGGCGAAGGCGGCCUUCUGGACUGACACUGACACUGAGGUGCGAAAGCGUGGGUAGCAAACAGGAUUAGAUACCCUAGUAGUC